rnacentral:rRNA from 1 species
AUUCCAGCUCCAAUAGCGUAUAUUUAAGUUGUUGCAGUUAAAAAGCUCGUAGUUGGAUUUCGGUUGAGAGCGGCCGGUCCGCCGUUUGGUGUGCACUGGCUGGUUUCAGCUUCCUGCAGAGGACGCGCUCUGGGCUUAAUCGUCUGGACGUGGAGUCUGCGUGGUUACUUUGAAAAAAUUAGAGUGUUCAAAGCGGGCUUACGCUUGAAUAUUUCAGCAUGGAAUAACACUAUAGGACUCCUGUCCUAUUUCGUUGGUCUCGGGACGGGAGUAAUGAUUAAGAGGAACAGUUGGGGGCAUUCGUAUUUCAAUGUCAGAGGUGAAAUUCUUGGAUUUUUGAAAGACGAACUUCUGCGAAAGCAUUUGCCAAGGAUGUUUUCAUCA